rnacentral:tRNA from 1 species
GGUUAUAGCUCAGGGGUAGAGCACUUGCCUGGCAUGUGUGGGGCACUAGGUUCAAUUCUUGGCACCA